rnacentral:rRNA from 1 species
UACGGAGGGGCUAGCGUUGUUCGGAAUUACUGGGCGUAAAGCGCGCGUAGGCGGACCUGCAAGUCGGGGUGAAAGCCCGAGGCUCAACCUCGGAACUGCCUUCGAAACUGCUGAGCUUGAGUACUUAAGAGGAUCGCGGAAUUCCGGUGUAGAGGUGAAAUUCGUAGAUAUCGGAGGAACACCAGCGCGAAGGCGGCGCUCUGGGCCGGUACUGACACUGAGGAGCGAAAGCGUGGGUAGCAAACAGGAUUAG